rnacentral:rRNA from 1 species
GACGAACCGUGCGAACGUUGUUCGGAAUCACUGGGCUUAAAGGGUGCGUAGGCGGGCUGUCAAGUCCGGGGUGAAAGCCCUCCGCUCAACGGGGGAAUGGCCUUGGAUACUGGCGGUCUGGAGGAAGGUAGGGGCGUGCGGAACUCUCGGUGGAGCGGUGAAAUGCGUAGAUAUCGGGAGGAACGCCGGUGGCGAAAGCGGCACGCUGGACCUUUUCUGACGCUGAGGCACGAAAGCGUGGGGAGCAAACAGG